CAUAGGUUAAUGAGGCGAACCGGGGGAACUGAAACAUCUAAGUACCCCGAGGAAAAGAAAUCAACCGAGAUUCCCCCAGUAGCGGCGAGCGAACGGGGAGGAGCCCAGAGCCUGAAUCAGUGUGUGUGUUAGUGGAAGCGUCUGGAAAGGCGCGCGAUACAGGGUGACAGCCCCGUACACAAAAAUGCACAUGCUGUGAGCUCGAUGAGUAGGGCGGGACACGUGGUAUCCUGUCUGAAUAUGGGGGGACCAUCCUCCAAGGCUAAAUACUCCUGACUGACCGAUAGUGAACCAGUACCGUGAGGGAAAGGCGAAAAGAACCCCGGCGAGGGGAGUGAAAAAGAACCUGAAACCGUGUACGUACAAGCAGUGGGAGCCUCUUAAUGGGGUGACUGCGUACCUUUUGUAUAAUGGGUCAGCGACUUAUAUUCUGUAGCAAGGUUAACCGAAUAGGGGAGCCGAAGGGAAACCGAGUCUUAACUGGGCGUUAAGUUGCAGGGUAUAGACCCGAAACCCGGUGAUCUAGCCAUGGGCAGGUUGAAGGUUGGGUAACACUAACUGGAGGACCGAACCGACUAAUGUUGAAAAAUUAGCGGAUGACUUGUGGCUGGGGGUGAAAGGCCAAUCAAACCGGGAGAUAGCUGGUUCUCCCCGAAAGCUAUUUAGGUAGCGCCUCGUGAAUUCAUCUCCGGGGGUAGAGCACUGUUUCGGCAAGGGGGUCAUCCCGACUUACCAACCCGAUGCAAACUGCGAAUACCGGAGAAUGUUAUCACGGGAGACACACGGCGGGUGCUAACGUCCGUCGUGAAGAGGGAAACAACCCAGACCGCCAGCUAAGGUCCCAAAGUCAUGGUUAAGUGGGAAACGAUGUGGGAAGGCCCAGACAGCCAGGAUGUUGGCUUAGAAGCAGCCAUCAUUUAAAGAAAGCGUAAUAGCUCACUGGUCGAGUCGGCCUGCGCGGAAGAUGUAACGGGGCUAAACCAUGCACCGAAGCUGCGGCAGCGACACUAUGUGUUGUUGGGUAGGGGAGCGUUCUGUAAGCCUGUGAAGGUGGCCUGUGAGGGUUGCUGGAGGUAUCAGAAGUGCGAAUGCUGACAUAAGUAACGAUAAAGCGGGUGAAAAGCCCGCUCGCCGGAAGACCAAGGGUUCCUGUCCAACGUUAAUCGGGGCAGGGUGAGUCGACCCCUAAGGCGAGGCCGAAAGGCGUAGUCGAUGGGAAACAGGUUAAUAUUCCUGUACUUGGUGUUACUGCGAAGGGGGGACGGAGAAGGCUAUGUUGGCCGGGCGACGGUUGUCCCGGUUUAAGCGUGUAGGCUGGUUUUCCAGGCAAAUCCGGAAAACCAAGGCUGAGGCGUGAUGACGAGGCACUACGGUGCUGAAGUGACAAAUGCCCUGCUUCCAGGAAAAGCCUCUAAGCAUCAGGUAACAUCAAAUCGUACCCCAAACCGACACAGGUGGUCAGGUAGAGAAUACCAAGGCGCUUGAGAGAACUCGGGUGAAGGAACUAGGCAAAAUGGUGCCGUAACUUCGGGAGAAGGCACGCUGAUAUGUAGGUGAAGCGACUUGCUCGUGGAGCUGAAAUCAGUCGAAGAUACCAGCUGGCUGCAACUGUUUAUUAAAAACACAGCACUGUGCAAACACGAAAGUGGACGUAUACGGUGUGACGCCUGCCCGGUGCCGGAAGGUUAAUUGAUGGGGUUAGCGGUAACGCGAAGCUCUUGAUCGAAGCCCCGGUAAACGGCGGCCGUAACUAUAACGGUCCUAAGGUAGCGAAAUUCCUUGUCGGGUAAGUUCCGACCUGCACGAAUGGCGUAAUGAUGGCCAGGCUGUCUCCACCCGAGACUCAGUGAAAUUGAACUCGCUGUGAAGAUGCAGUGUACCCGCGGCAAGACGGAAAGACCCCGUGAACCUUUACUAUAGCUUGACACUGAACAUUGAGCCUUGAUGUGUAGGAUAGGUGGGAGGCUUUGAAGUGUGGACGCCAGUCUGCAUGGAGCCGACCUUGAAAUACCACCC
rnacentral:rRNA from 1 species